AUUGAACGCUGGCGGCGUGCCUAACACAUGCAAGUCGAGCGGUAACAGGUGUAGCAAUACAUGCUGACGAGCGGCGGACGGGUGAGUAACGCUUGGGAAUCUGCCUAUUAGUGGGGGACAACCCGGGGAAACUCGGGCUAAUACCGCAUACGCACUACGGUGGAAAGCCGGGGACCGCAAGGCCUGGCGCUAACAGAUGAGCCCAAGUCGGAUUAGCUAGUUGGUAGGGUAACGGCCUACCAAGGCGACGAUCCGUAACUGGUCUGAGAGGACGACCAGUCACACCGGAACUGAGACACGGUCCGGACUCCUACGGGAGGCAGCAGUGGGGAAUAUUGUGCAAUGGGCGUAAGCCUGACGCAGCGACGCCGCGU
rnacentral:rRNA from 1 species